rnacentral:rRNA from 1 species
GUGGGGAAUUUUGGACAAUGGGCGCAAGCCUGAUCCAGCAAUGCCGCGUGCAGGAAGACGGCCUUCGGGUUGUAAACUGCUUUUGUACGGAACGAAACGGUCCGGGUUAAUACCCUGGGCUAAUGACGGUACCGUAAGAAUAAGCACCGGCUAACUACGUGCCAGCAGCCGCGGUAAUACGUAGGGUGCAAGCGUUAAUCGGAAUUACUGGGCGUAAAGCGUGCGCAGGCGGUUUUGUAAGACAGGCGUGAAAUCCCCGGGCUCAACCUGGGAAUUGCGCUUGGGACUGCAAGGCUGGAGUGCGGCAGAGGGGGAUGGAAUUCCGCGUGUAGCAGUGAAAUGCGUAGAUAUGCGGAGGAACACCGAUGGCGAAGGCAAUCCCCUGGGCCUGCACUGACGCUCAUGCACGAAAGCGUGGGGAGCAAACAGGAUUAGAAACCCUGGUAGUCC